rnacentral:tRNA from 1 species
AAUAAAAUGGCUGAAGUUAUAAGCGAUAAAUUGUAAAUUUAUUUAUAAGAAAUAUUCUUUUUUAUUA